rnacentral:misc_RNA from 1 species
AGAGAGAGAGAGAGAGAAGCAAAACAAGAUACUCAGGUUCCACCAUUCCUAGCCUGAAGCUACUACAUACAGAAGCUAUAAGCCCUGAUAAAGUACUUUUGAUCUCUGAUGACAGUUUAAAAUCAUAUUCUAUGGUUUUUUCUCACUAACUAUGAUGUAGAGAUACCAAAUAGUAAGGUCAAGACGCCUAGGUAUUAUAGAGGCAAGUCUAUUAUACACAACCACCUAAAAAUUGUGUGUAAUUGAUGCAAUUAUCCACCAAUUCAAUGAAACUUAGCUUAGUUGAAACCAAUACAAAAAAUUUGAUACUUUGAUCCAAGCCAUUCAUAAAAAGGUAGUCUGACAGAAUACUACUGCUAUUCAGCAAUUAUUUUUCAGAGACUCAGAAAUCAAUCCUUCGACCAAAAUAGGGGGGAAAUAGCAAACCUCUUAUUCUAGUUUGUUACAAUUUUACAGUGGCUUUUAGAACCUUCUUGUUGAUAAUAGUGCAGCAGAAUUGUGACAGAAAUAUAUAGUUACUGAUAUUUAUUCAAAUGUUAAAAGUAUGAUGUUGAAUAUUUGAGGUUCAACUUUUAAACUGUUAUGGAAAGUCAAUCACU